GCGAGUGUAGCUCAGUGGUAGAGCCUCUCGUUGCCAACGAGACUGUCGUGAGUUCGAAUCUCAUCACUCGCUCCA
rnacentral:tRNA from 1 species